rnacentral:rRNA from 1 species
AUUAAACGCUGGCGGCAUGCCUUACACAUGCAAGUCGAACGGCAGCACGGGGGCAACCCUGGUGGCGAGUGGCGGACGGGUGAGUAAAGCAUCGGAACGUAUCCUGGAGUGGGGGAUAACGUAGCGAAAGUUACGCUAAUACCGCAUAUUCUGUGAGCAGGAAAGCAGGGGAUCGCAAGACCUUCGCGCUCUGGGAGCGGCCGAUGUCGGAUUAGCUAGUUGGUGGGGUAAAGGCCUACCAAGGCGACGAUCCGUAGCGGGUCUGAGAGGAUGAUCCGCCACACUGGGACUGAGACACGGCCCAGACUCCUACGGGAGGCAGCAGUGGGGAAUUUUGGACAAUGGGCGCAAGCCUGAUCCAGCCAUGCCGCGUGAGUGAAGAAGGCCUCGGUUGUAAGA